AGCGUAGGUGGCCUAACAUGUCAACUGUGAAAACCCGGAGCUCAACUCCGGACUUGCAGUUGAAACUGGUAGGCUUGAGGACGGUAGAGGAAGACGGAACUGCCAGUGUAGGGGUAAAAUCCUUAGAUAUUGGCAGGAACGCCGGUGACGAAGGUGGUUUUCUGGGCCGGUUCUGACACUGAUGCUCGAAAACCAGGGGAGCGAACG
rnacentral:rRNA from 1 species